rnacentral:tRNA from 1 species
ACUUAUUUAAUAUAAAUAAAGUAUAUUUGACUUCCAAUCAAAAAGUUUGAUAAAACAAAAUAAGUA